UUUACAUUCACUUUUUUUUUUUUUUUUUUUUUUUUUUUUACCUAAUCCUUUAAAAUAAACAGCAUGGGUUUAACUGAGUUUUUUAAAGACAAACUAUGUAACGUCUAUUUGUAUAAAAACGAUAAACUAGAAUUGAUAAAACAUUUAGAAAAUGUAGUUAUAAGAAGAGUAUGUACGUGUAGUAACAGCAUAAAUGUGAUAUUACAACAUUUGAAUGGUGAGGAUAAAGAAAAAAAGGUAAACACAUUAAUAGAACUGAACCAGUUAACCCUUACGUAUGGUAAUAUCAACAACAGUAACACAAAUAAUAAAAGCUACUUACAUAUAUCCUAUAAUGAUAUAUAUGAUUUUACCUAUGUAACACUUGAUUUAUUUUUAUAUUCCUUCUAUUUUAAUAAUUAUAAUAAAACUAAUAAAAAACACAUAAAUAAAGAUGGAAACGAUAGUAGUGACUGUUUAAACAAUGAGAAUCAAGUAGAAAGUAGCAACGUAUUGAUUAAAAAAGAUUUAAAAAUGUUGUUAAAAAAGGACAGUCAUAGUUAUAGUCAAAGUCAUAGUCAUACUUUUGUAUAUGACAUGAUGAAUGGAUCGGACAAAAAUGAAACUACUUUGGAAAAUAAUUAUAAUAGUAUUAAAAGUAAUGAUAAAAAUGUAGAAUGUUCAAUUGUAUAUACAAAGCAUUUACCUGCACAUUCAGAAAAAAAAAUAUAUUUUUGCUCACACGAAUUUUACUGCAUCACUAAAAAAAAUGAAGUCGUUACAUGGUCUUCUAAUCCAAAUACUAACAUUAUGUCACGUCCCUACAAUUUCGUGUCUACUUUUAUCAGUUAUAUAAAUUUUGAUGAAAAAAUAAAAAUCGUUCAUAUAUCUUGUGGUUAUAAUCAUGUCCUUUUUUUAUCUUCAAAUAAAAAUUGUUAUGCACUAGGUGGGAAUGAGUUUUAUCAAGUUUGUGGAAAUGAAAAAAAAAAAAAAAACUUUUUUAAUACCCCCCAACUAAUACAAUUCAACAAAACAAAUAUGAAUAAUAAAAAAAAAAUAAAAUAUAUUGCAGCAGGAUAUGCACAUAAUUUAGUAUAUACGUAUACACAUGAGUUAUAUGCAUGGGGUAGCAAUAUGUAUAAACAACUUUUUGCAAAAGAUGAUGUUAUUAAGUGCCCAACACUCAUUUUAAACCAAUGCAUCUGGAUUAAUGUGAUGAAAAAAGUAAGGAAAUGUAAAAGAGAGGGAGAAGGAGAAAGAGAAAAAGAAGGAGAAACAAAAGGAGAAGAAGCAGAAGAAGAAGAAGAAGAAGAAGAAGGAAAAAAAAAAGGAAAAGGAGAAGAACAAAACUCAAUGGACAUGACUGAAAUGCAUAUCCAUGCUCAAGUAAACAAAAUAAAUAAAACUGAUCAUAUAAUGAACAAAUUAAAACGCGAAAACAAAUUUGAAAUAGUAAAACUCUGUUGUGGUUUUUCUUUUUCCUGUUUUUUAUUAAAAUCGAAAGAUUGUUACCUGUUGGGUAAAGUAAACGUAUUAAGCAGUAGCAAAAAUGAUGCAAUAAAAAAAAUAAACAAAAAUAAAAAAAUAAAAAAUGUUUUUUGUAACUUCUUUCAUAUAAUUCUAAUAGAACAUUUUAAAAUUAAAAACAUAAUCCCAACAAUAAUAAAUCCGAAUUUGAAAGAGCCUGUUUUUAUAUUUUGUAAUUUUCCAAUAAAACAAGAAUUAAGUUGUAAAAUAAAAUUAGACAUGUUUGGAUUAGGUAACAAUAAUGAGAAUAGAAUUGGUGACAAAUGGAUGCAUACUAAUAAUGUUAAUUGUCUUAAUAGCAAUAGUAGGGACGACAAUAAUAAAAACGGUCAUAGUAAUACAAUACAAUUUAUUUGUUAUUAUAAUAAACAUAAACAAUGGUCAAGUUAUUUGAAGUGGCCCAGACAAAGUUUACAUGAUAAUAAUACAGAGUCUAACUAUAUGAUAAUACCUAAUGGAAACAAAAAUGAAAGUUUUAAAAGUUUAUGUAAAAUAAAUAAAAAUAUGAUUAAUAAAAAAGUAUUUUUAAUUUUAUAUAAUCCAAAUUGGUGUGUUUUUUAUAAAAAAAAUAUUAUUAUUUCGAAUUAUGAGGGUAAAAUAAAAAGCGUCAAACC
rnacentral:lncRNA from 1 species